rnacentral:rRNA from 1 species
AUACGGAGGAUCCGAGCGUUAUCCGGAUUUAUUGGGUUUAAAGCGUCCGUAGCUUGACUGUUAGGUCUCUUGGGACAUCUUCACGCUCAACGUGAAGGCGCCUAAGAGAUACCAGCAGUCUUGGCCCUGGGAGAGGUCAACCGCCCUACGGGGGUAGGAGUGAAAUCUUGUAAUCCUCGAGGGACUACCUAUGGCGAAGGCAGUUUACCAGAACAGCUUCGACAGUGAGGGACGAAAGCUGGGGGAGCAAACGGGAUUAGAUACCCCGGUAGUCCCAGCCGUAAACAAUGUGCGUUAGGUGUUUCGGUAACCACGUGUUACUGAUGCGCCGAAGAGAAAGCGUGAAACGCACCACCUGGGAAGUACGGUCGCAAGGCUGAAACUCAAAGGAAUUGGCGGGG